rnacentral:sRNA from 1 species
CAGAAGCCAGAGUCCCCGGGCGAGCCUCCCCCAGGCUUAGAGCUCUUCCGCUGGCAGUGGCACGAGGUGGAGGCGCCCUACCUGGUGGCCCUGUGGAUCCUGGUGGCCAGCCUGGCCAAAAUCGUGUUUCACCUGUCUCGGAAAGUAACAUCUCUGGUCCCUGAGAGCUGCCUGCUGAUUUUGCUGGGCCUGGUGCUAGGGGGCAUUGUUUUGGCUGUGGCCAAGAAAGCUGAGUACCAGCUGGAGCCAGGCACCUUCUUCCUCUUCCUGCUGCCUCCUAUUGUGUUGGACUCAGGCUAUUUCAUGCCUAGCAGGCUGUUCUUUGACAACUUGGGUGCCAUCCUCACCUAUGCCGUGGUAGGCACACUCUGGAAUGCCUUCACAACAGGCGCUGCCCUCUGGGGCUUGCAGCAGGCUGGACUUGUAGUACAAAGCCAGCUGCAGUCGCCACUUCAUCUCAGAGGAUGCGCAGGAGCGGCAGGACAAGGAGGUCUUCCAGCAGAACAUGAAGCGGCGGCUGGAGUCCUUUAAGUCCACCAAGCACAACAUCUACUUCACCAAGAGCAAGCCAAGACCCCGCAAGACUGGCCGCAGGAAGGAUGGUGUGGCGAAUGCUGAGGCUACAAAUGGGAAACAUCGAGGCCUGGGCUUUCAGGACACAGGCAAGCAGGGAGCAGUGUGGGAUUGAGGAUGGGAGGGAGGAG